rnacentral:rRNA from 1 species
AACGAACGCUGGCGGCGUGGAUAAGACAUGCAAGUCGAACGGCCCCGACAUUUUAGCAAUAAAAUGUCGGGUAGUGGCGAAAGGGUGCGUAACACGUGGCUACCUACCUCGAAGUUGGGGAUAGCUCGGCGAAAGCCGGAUUAAUACCGAAUGUGAUCGUGAGAUCAAAGCUGGGGAUCGUAAGACCUGGCGCUUUGAGAUGGGGCUGCGGCCUAUCAGGUAGUUGGCGGGGUAAUGGCCCACCAAGCCUAAGACGGGUAGCUGGUCUGAGAGGACGACCAGCCACACUGGAACUGAGACACGGCCCAGACUCCUACGGGAGGCAGCAGUGGGGAAUAUUGGACAAUGGGGGCAACCCUGAUCCAGCGACGCCGCGUGUGUGAAGAAGGCCUGCGGGUUGUAAAGCACUUUUAGNGGGGAUGAAAAGCUCGGGGUUAAUACCUCCGGGUCUUCGACCUAACCCAAAGAAAAGACACCGGCUAACUCUGUGCCAGCCGCCG